GGACGAACGCUGGCGGCGUGCUUACCACAUGCAAGUCGAACGGAAAGGCCCUGCUUGCAGGGUGCUCGAGUGGCGAACGGGUGAGUAACACGUGGGUGAUCUGCCCCUUAUUUUGGGAUAAGCCUGGGAAACUGGGUCUAAUACUGGAUAGGACCAUGCUGUAGGUGGUGUGGUGGAAAGAUUAGUUUCGGUAAGGGAUGAGCUCGCGGCCUAUCAGCUUGUUGGUGGGGUAAUGGCCUACCAAGGCGUCGACGGGUAGCCGGCCUGAGAGGGUGGACGGCCACAUUGGGACUGAGAUACGGCCCAGACUCCUACGGGAGGCAGCAGUGGGGAAUAUUGCACAAUGGGCGCAAGCCUGAUGCAGCGACGCCGCGUGGGGGAUGACGGCCUUCGGGUUGUAAACUCCUUUCAGCCAUGACGAAGCCCUUGUGGUGACGGUAGUGGUAGAAGAAGCACCGGCUAACUACGUG
rnacentral:rRNA from 1 species